UACGUAGGGGGCAAGCGUUGUCCGGAUUUAUUGGGCGUAAAGAGCGUGUAGGCGGCUUUACAGGUCCGUUGUGAAAACUCGAGGCUCAACCUCGAGACGCCGGUGGAAACCGUAAAGCUAGAGUCCGGAAGAGGAGAGUGGAAUUCCUGGUGUAGCGGUGAAAUGCGCAGAUAUCAGGAAGAACACCCGUGGCGAAGGCGGCUCACUGGACCAUAACUGACGCUGAGGCACGAAAGCUAGGGGAGCAAACAGG
rnacentral:rRNA from 1 species